CAUCUCUCGCGCUGGCGCCCUUUGUAUUGGACCAUGCUUUUGGCAUGCUAAACAACUUUUUGCGUACUGAACGCAUAGUUCUCCCAUCUUUGGCCAAAAAUAUCCACUCCUAAUAAUUAACCAUCUCAUCCUUUGGCCAGCUUGAUGAGCUCCACAUAUCCCUUCGUGCACUUCAGCCAUGAUCGUCUUGGCUUCUUGCAAACUUACACACUUUAGUAAUACACCAUCAGGGCGUUUCUUAAAUAACUCUUCGUCUAUUAGUGUGUAAUUCAGCGAACAUAACUUUGUUUUCCUACUAAUCCCUCCAUUAGGUUCUUGAAGGAACCCUUUAAUCUCUGUUCGCCAAUCCACUGCAUCUCCAUCUUGUAUACAGUGAAGUUCAAUUUUUCUCGCCCUUCUUUGAGUUACGGGCAAUAUGAUUCCGUAUUCACAAGUAGACUUCCAAUCCAAGAUUUUAGAGUACCCUGAAGCCAUUUGGGCCAACUCAUUCGCCACGUCGUUAUAUAUCCUAUUAACGCAUUGAAGUUCUACUUGAUCGAAUUCCUCUAAUAAUUCUUGGGCGAUCUCAUAUUGACUUAUAAUGGAAUCACUUUGGCAUUUAAAAUCACCAAUCAAUUGAUGUAUCACCAAUUGAGAAUCGCCCUUAACGAUCACGUUUCUUACUCCCAUAUCUAUCAUCAGUUCUAGGCCUACAAUUAAGGCCUCGUAUUCGGCUUGAUUGUUGGUGCACAUUCUGUCUAAGGUGAAUGCGAAUUUGUAGCAAAUCCCUAAAGGAUUAAUUAGUGCUACUCCUACUCCUGCACCUUUAGAGGUCUUUGACCCAUCGAAAUACAAUACCCAAGGUUUUAGUCCGAACGAGUUGAUUUCUAAUUCGAUUUCUUCAGGCAUGUCAAGGCAUGGAUGAUCGGCUAGGAAGUUAGCCAAAGCCUGAUUUUUGACUGCCUUUUGAGGUAUAUAUUGUAUUUCGAACUCUGAUAAAGCUAGUGUCCAAAGGCCUACCCUUUGGUGUAAAAUAGGGCGCGAGAACAUAUAUUUGACUAAAUUU
rnacentral:lncRNA from 1 species